rnacentral:rRNA from 1 species
GACAGAGGGGGCAAGCGUUGCUCGGAAUUACUGGGCGUAAAGGGCGCGUAGGCGGGAUGGUAAGUCGGUCGUGAAAUCCCUCGGCUCAACCGAGGAACGUCGAUCGAUACUACCGUUCUUGAGGAUUGCAGAGGAGACUGGAAUUCCCGGUGUAGCGGUGAAAUGAUGUGAGAGAUCGGGAGGAACACCGGUGGCGAAGGCGGGUCUCUGGGCAAUUCCUGACGCUGAGGCGCGAAAGCGUGGGGAGCAAACGGG